ensembl:lncRNA
AUGGGCUGUUUCUGUUUCCCUAGUCCAAAGACAGCCCUGCUCGUCACUAGGGAGCCCAUAGAGACUCAAAAUCUGUCUCUGCUAAGACAGAAGGUGACCCUGAUGGAAAACGCCAUCACAAUGCUGAAGAGCGAUCAGGACACCUUAAUGGCUCUGUUAAAAAAGAGACAGAAGAAACAGCAGAAUCAAGAGGAGCUGCUGCAGAACCACAAACAGAAGCAGGAGAAGAACUACCUGCAGCUCUCUGCGAUCACCAGAACGCUGGAGGUCAAGAUGGACCAAGAGAUCAAGGCAAUCUGGGCGGUCCUGAGGGGACUGGAAGAGUCUGUUGAGGCGAACAAGAACGGUUUGGAGAGAACAGACUCUUCUGAACAUUUGACACCCUGUUGGGAAUUCCCAUUUCCAGUACGUCCUCGUUCUUCAAGUGACUGGCAUGAGGAAUGCGUCCAGUAUCCCUGUGUUCAAUUCGCCACCCGUGGAAACAUCCAGAAUGUGACUCAGAGAGACAUCUCAGGUGUUCCUCCAUCUGGCCAGAGACUCCACAAACGGUCUCAUGUCCUACCGCCUCUGGUUGAUCCUCCCGUGCCUAUUAAACAUUGCUUUCCUGAUCUCUCCCCAACCAAACGCUCUCUGCCUUUGCCACAUACGGUUUCUAAGGGAAUCAACAUGGACCCGUGUUCAGACACAGCCUUCAGACAGCAGAAGGACUGGAUGAAGACCAAGGAAGAGGAGAGGGAGAACGAUAGAGUGGAGAUACUGAAGGCAGUGGAAAAAGAGGUGGAGAGGAAAUGGAAGAAGUUGCAGAGGAACUCACCAGGUCGUGGAUUCCUGGAACAAGAGGAGAUGGUAGACAUGAUGAAGGCAAUGGAAGCUAAGAGGGUGAAGGAAAGAGUUGAGAUCCUUCAAUUGGCGGAAAAAGAGUUUGAGAGGAAAUGGCUCGAGAUGCAAAAUGCAGGUCAAAAACCGAAGGGAGAUAAGAGUGAGGUGCAUUUUGCAGAGAAGGAACUGGAGAACAACCUGAAAGGCCAGAUGAAAAACAUCCCGAAACCUCUUGAAGAAAUAAAAAGAGAUAAAGCAGAGAAGGAUUUAACAUUGUCCGAGAUAUUUGAUGAAGAACUACAGAGAGCUAAAGAGAGGAUUAAGAUUCUAGACAAGUUGAUGAGGGAUAACAAAAUGGAGCGCAAACUCAGGUUGGAGGAAGAGAAAAAGAAAGAGAAGGAGAGGAAAGAAAAUAAAAUACAGGAGAAACUGAAAUUGGAAGAAGAGAAAAGGAAAGAAAGGGAGCAAUUUAAGGUCCUUGAGAAGGAGAUAAAGUCAAAAGGUCUGGAAGAGAAACGCCGGUUUAAGGAAGAAAAGGAGAGGAUAGAAAACCUACAGAAGGAAAAGAAGGUGAGACUUAAGCAAGAGAAAUUAAGAUUGGAGGCAGAGAAAAGGAAAGAGAAGGAGAUGGCAAAGACUCUGAAGAAGGAGAAGAAGGAAAAAGAAAUAAAAGAGAAAGUACGAUUGGAGGAAGCUAAAAGGAAAGAAAAGGAGAUAACAAAGGCUCUGGAGAAGAAGAAGACCAGACAAGCAAAUGAGGAGAAAUGUAGACUUGAGCAAGAAAAAAAGAAAAAAAUGGUGAUGAUGAAAAACCUGAAGAAGGACAAAGAAAAGGCCAAGAAAAUGUUAGCUGAAGCAGAGAAACUAAGAGAACGUGAGGAGAAGAAGUGCUUGCAGAAAGAGAAGGAGCGCAAAAAAGCUGAGAAAAGGUUAGCUAAAGCUGAGGCAAAAAACAACGCAAAAGCUGUUGAAGAGCUACAAAUGCAGGAAGAGGAAAAUAGAAAGCAUCAACUAAACACUAAGGGAACAGCAGAGAUGAAGAAGGAACAGGAGAGGACAGACAACGACAAGCCAAAGAGAAUAUUACUGACAGAGAACAUCAUUUUAGUCCGUCAGGCAAACAGGAUGGACAGACACAAGACCCCAUCACUGAAGGAGUCAGACUCAGAGGAGUGGGCAGAUACAGAUGGUGAUGAUGAGUCUGAGACUGACUGGUGAAGACUGAAUGCCCAAUCACUUGUGGAAGAAGGAGAUUUUCAACACUUGACAUGCAACAGGGUUUCAAAAGGAGUUAGGGAAGGAUAAGUGGUAAAGAGACAACAAGACAAAAUAAACUCCCACGACUCUCCCUUCUUUCUCAGGGGGAAGUCAUUUAAAGAAAGACCUUCAUAUUUUGUUGAAUAGUAAAAGCUGGCAAUGUAAAAUGGCGUGUGUUCCCGGGUCUAAAAUAAAGUUAAUUAUGC